UACGUAGGGGGCUAGCGUUGUCCGGAAUCAUUGGGCGUAAAGCGCGUGUAGGCGGCCCGGUAAGUCCGCUGUGAAAGUCGGGGGCUCAACCCUCGGAAGCCGGUGGAUACUGUCGGGCUCGAGUACGGAAGAGGCGAGUGGAAUUCCUGGUGUAGCGGUGAAAUGCGCAGAUAUCAGGAGGAACACCAAUGGCGAAGGCAGCUCGCUGGGACGGUACUGACGCUGAGACGCGAAAGCGUGGGGAGCAAACAGG
rnacentral:rRNA from 1 species